rnacentral:rRNA from 1 species
UACGGAAGGCAGCAGUGGGGAAUAUUGCACAAUGGGCGCAAGCCUGAUGCAGCCAUGCCGCGUGUAUGAAGAAGGCCUUCGGGUUGUAAAGUACUUUCAGUCGUGAGGAAGGUGUUAAGGUUAAUAACCUUAGCAAUUGACGUUAGCGACAGAAGAAGCACCGGCUAACUCCGUGCCAGCAGCCGCGGUAAUACGGAGGGUGCGAGCGUUAAUCGGAAUUACUGGGCGUAAAGGGCACGCAGGCGGUUAAUUAAGUUGGAUGUGAAAUCCCCGGGCUUAACCUGGGAAUGGCAUUCAAGACUGGUUAGCUAGAGUCUUGUAGAGGGGGUAGAAUUCCAUGUGUAGCGGUGAAAUGCGUAGAAAUGUGGAGGAGUACCGGUGGCGAAGGCGGCCCCUGGACAAAGACUGACGCUCAUGUGCGAAAGCGUGGGGAGCAAACAGGGAUUAGAUACC